rnacentral:lncRNA from 1 species
CCCCCAGGGAGAAAGCUACAUGCAAGAGAAACAGUGAGAAACAUCAAAGCCUCUUCCGAUCCUUCUCAGCCUCCUGCCCCCACUAUCCCUGAGCUCUCAAUCGCAGCAGGCCCGAGAAGGAAAGUGACCAGGGCAGCAACUGGAGCCUGGGCUGAACAAGUUAAGGGGAUUUUCUGCCCACCUUCCAGGUUGUCCUCCAGCCAAAGGUGUCGGUGUGGAGCGAAUCUUUGCUGUGACCCCUCCCUCCAAACCUCCACCCCUGGAUGCCCAGCUCUGUUUCAGAGCCCAGGAGAGACACCAAAGGAGAAGAGCCUGUGCUUUUGCCCUGGAGACCUCCCACUGUCAUUGAGGAGAAAUAGAUUCACAGGCAUGAAAAGAUAGUUUCCAGUCUGACAUUAAUCCAACGUGUAAAGUCUGUCUUUUUUUUUUUUUUUU